AUUGAACGCUGGCGGCAGGCCUAACACAUGCAAGUCGAACGAGUGGCGGACGGGUGAGUAAUGUCUGGGAAACUGCCCGAUGGAGGGGGAUAACUACAGGAAAAGGUAGCUAAUACCGCAUCCCAUCGGAUGUGCCCAGAUGGGAUUAGCUUGUAGGUGCGGUAACGGCUCACCUAGGCGACGAUCCCUAGCGGGUAUGAGAGGAUGACCAGCCACACUGGAAGUGGGACACGGCCCAGACUCCAACGGGAGGCAGCAGGGGGGAAUAUUGCACAAGGGGCGAAAGCCUGAGGAAGCCCUGCCGGGUGUAUGAAGCAGGCCUUGGGGUUGUAAACUACUUUCAGCGGGGCGGCGUUACCCGCAGAAGAAGCAACGGCUAACUCCGUGCCAGCCGCCGCGGUAAUUC
rnacentral:rRNA from 1 species